CCCUUAGAUGUUCUGGGCCGCACGCGCGCUACACUGACGAUGGCAACGAGUUUUUCCUUCGCCGAAAGGUGUGGGUAAUCUUUUGAAACAUCGUCGUGCUGGGGAUAGAUCAUUGCAAUUUUUGAUCUUGAACGAGGAAUUCCUAGUAAGCGCGAGUCAUCAGCUCGCGUUGAUUACGUCCCUGCCCUUUGUACACACCGCCCGUCGCACCUACCGAUUGAAUGGUCCGGUGAAGACUCGAGAUUGUGGUCUAGCUCCUUCAUUGGGGCUUGACCGCGAGAACCUGUCUAAACCUUAUCAUUUAGAGGAAGGUGAAGUCGUAACA
rnacentral:rRNA from 1 species